AUAUGAUAGAACCUACCUAACAAUAUCCUGCGGUUCUAUGGUUGCCAUGGGGAAGUGAGUUCUAAGUUCCAGCCAGGAUCACAACUCUGCCACUGCCAUCAGCAGGAACAACCCAGCUUUCACCUUCCACUGCUUGCCAUCCCAAAGAGUCUCGAUCUGUCACCCAGGCUGGAGUGCAGUGGCGCGAUCUCAGCUCACUGCAACCUCCACUUCCCAGGUUCAAGCGAUUCUCCUGCCUCAGCCUCCCGAGUAGCUGGGACUACAGGUGCGUGCCACCGUGCCUGGCUAGUCUUUGUAUUUUUAGUAGAGACAGGGUUUUGCCAUGUUGGCCAGACUGGUCUCAAAUUCCUGACCUCGGAUGAUCCACCCGCCUCGGCCUCCCAAAGUGCUGGGAUUACAGGCGUGAGCCCGGCCAAGCAUUUAGCAUCUUAAAAAAUCCUAGCCAAGUGGAUCUUUGUGAAACUUAUGUACAUGAAUCUAUUUCUUACAUCUCCCCCUCUCAAAAGAAAAAUGUGCGGUGAACUAUCACUCCUGCUACAGCUUUUGCUUUGGGUUCUUGGGAAGAGAACUGGGAAGACUAAGGAGUGAGCAUUAUAUGAUAAUUCAUGAAAAGAGGUGGAGAGAAGGACUUUCAAGUUUCAUUUGUAUUUCCUUCCAAUGACCAACAUAUCCUGGGGUGACUGCUGUAUAUUUUAUUUGGCUUUCUCCCUUGAUUGGAUUUGAUUUUUAGAAGUUCUUCCCUUCAAAUAAUAUUGUUUAAACUUAAAUAUCAGACAGCAAACAUUUUGCAUAUUCUAUAAGUAAAUGUCUAAUUGUAUAAGCUAUUCAUUGAUACAUUAAAAAAGAUUUAGUACCUUUUAUCAAAAUAUCAUGAAAUGUGUCCUUAAGGCAUAUCUCGAAAAGGGUGUCAAUGUAGUAAAUCAGUGAAAAUUGUGCGUAAUUGGGAAGGUAGGGAAGGAAAAGAUCACUUUUCACUAUGGGUAAGGGCAAGAUUUCUUCUAUAAACCCACCUCCUCCAGAGCUUACUGCUACAAUUGUGUUGUUAGAGAAGCAAGACACAGGGUUCUAGGAGGGCUGGGGAAAUCUAGGAGUAGUAACAGGAAAGGUUUAGUGUUAGCUAAAAGUCUCUAGGUCUUUGAUCAGAGGGGUGAGGUAGGACUGUGCAAAUGUCCUAUGGGCACAAAAUAGCAAAUGCAAGUCACAGUUUAGCCUUCUCCGUCUUGGUAACAGCCUAGACAAUUUAGAAAAGUAUAUGUUCAAUUAAAGUUGACUCUUAAGAAACGAGUUUAAGGCAAUUAGGUAUAAUAAAUUAAUCCAAUAUAGAAAGUGUCCCGUUAUAAUUUUAAAAUCAAGAAAUUUAGAGUACUUACUGAGUAGUACUUGAAAUGCAGUUAGUGUGAAAAGAACUUCUGGAAGUGUAAAACACACCCUGGUUUCAAAGGCUUAAUGCAAAAGAACUGUAAACAUUAUCAGUAAUUUUAUAUGGCUUACAUGUUGAAAUACUAUUUUGGACAUAUUGAACUAAGUGUAUUUAUUAAAACUAUGUUUCUUCUUGCUUUAAAGGGGUCAUUUAGAAAUUUUAAAAUUACAUUGUUACAUUGUAUCUGUAGGUAUAGGACCAAGCUGCUGGCUAAGAUUAACCUGGCAGGACUUAGUACUAAAGGGAUAGACGGGCUAGUCACAGCCUAAGACAGAGGAAAGUUAAGAAGCAUAAUUUUUAACAAGCCAUUUAAAAAUACCCCCUAGAGGCCAGGCGCGGUGGCUCACGCCUGUGAUCCCAGCACUUUGAGAGGCCCAGGUGGAAGGAUCGCUUGAGCCCAGGAGUUUGAGACCAGCCUGGGCAACAGGGUAAGAACCCAGUCUCUACAAAAGAUAAACAAAAUUAGCCACGUGUGGUGAUGCGCGCCGGGCGUGGUGAUGCACUGGGGAGGCUGAGGCGGGAUGAUCACUUGAGCCUAGGAGGUCAAGGCAGCAGUGAGCUGUGAUCAUGUCACUGCACUCCAGCCUAGGCGACAGAGUGAGACUCUUGUCUCAACAAAAACAGAAAUAAUAACCUCUAGAAAAGAUAGCCACUGCGUGAGAUCACCUGAGCAAUACUGUGGGAAGAGUGUCUAGGGAGGAGGAAACGGGGAUUCAUUUUCUUAAAAAGCACCAAAGAGCUGGGCGAGGUGGCUCACGCCUGUAAUGCCAGCACUUUGGGAGGGCGAGGCGGGCGUAUCACUUGAGGUCAGGAGUUCGAGACCAGCCUGGCCAACAUGGUGAAACCCCGUCUCUACUAAAAAUACAAAAGUUAGCUGGGCGUGGUGGCACGUGCCUGUAAUCCCA
rnacentral:lncRNA from 1 species